rnacentral:lncRNA from 1 species
UGAGGAAUAGCGCUCCCCAGGCUGUGCCUCUGACCCCACGUACCCUUCUCUCCUGCCACGUCGCUCGACCGGCAGCCAUAUUGUUAUGCUUUGGCCCACCUUCCUGCUUUCUAGGAAGCGGAAUCUUGAUUUGAAGACAUCCAGAAAGAGACUAGAGCCAUGGAGAGGAAGGAUCACAGAGCACCGGCAUGUUUUGUCAGCAGAAGAACUAUGGAAGAGCAUCUGCGAAUCACGUCAUGACCACGUUUCUCAAACUGGGCAUUACAAACCUUCACAGUGAUUGUGAUAGAAUAGAGACCACCAUUAUAAGACAAUGAGAGGGACUUUGGAGAACUGAAUUGACUUCCUUCAACUCUAUAACCAGUUCAAGAGAUAGGUUUUCCUAGCUGUCUGGAGCUCCACAGCUGAGUCUAAUCUAUACUCUGCAGGAGAAAUUACUUCUUUAAUUAGUGAUGUCUGCUAUGGGUGUUGGUGCUAAUGGUGUGAUGGCAAUCACGUUAUUUAGCAAACUUAGUUUUAAACCAUCCUGUUGAAAAGAAGCAUUUCCCAAUGCUUAGGAAGACUUUGAGGUCACCACAAAUUUGUAAGGAGAAACAAACAGAACAGGACAAAGAUUAAGAGAUUUUGAAAUUUACUCCCAUAUGAUGUAUUAAAAGGAAAAUAGAAUGCUGAAAAAGCUUUUUAGGAAGUGAUGCCAUAUAAAUUUUAUUCAAAAGAAUUUACAUGAACAUAUUUUAAUUGCAGAUGGAUGUACAAUGCCCAUUAUAUGUAUUACAGUUGACAGAUUUUUCAAAAGAGUAAAAUAUUUUUAUUGGUAGUAUUCCAUCUAUAAUAUUAGAUUCACUACUGAAUAUGAUGUAAACUUCUUCAGCGAUGUAGUUACUUAUCAUCAGCUGGUGACAAAAUGUUCCAUUCUAAGUUGAUUAUUCUGCUAUAACUUUUUUUCUCAUUAAACUUUGUUUUAAUAGGUCUCAAAAUUCUGUGAUAGAUUUUUGGUCAAGGUGUUUCCGUUAAAAAGUAACGAUUUUAAGAACUAAUAAAACUGCCACAUGAAAACAAAAACAAAAUGGUCUGCAAAACAUUCUUUCCUUCUGAAGUUUUAUGAUGCAUUAUUAACCAGUCUUUUACUGUUAAACUUAAAUGACUGAUUGAAACGAACACUUCUGAGAUUGUUCUUCCACCAUUGAUUAAGACUAGGGUGCCGACGUGAGAGGAUCACUUGAGCUCAGGAGUUCGAGACUAUCCUGGGCAACAUAACAAGACCUCAUCUCCAAAAAAAAAAAAAAAAAAAAGAUUGGUGUGAUGGCACAGGUUUGUGGUCCCAGCUAUUUGGGAGGCUGAGAUGGGAGGAUCACCUGAGCCCAGGAGGUUGAGGCUGCAGUGAGCCAUGAUGGUGCCACUGCACUCCAGCCUGGGUGACAGAGCAAGACCCCAUCUCAAAAAAAAAAAAAAAAAAUUGAGUGAAAAGUAUUAAAGAUACUGUUCAUUUAGCCUUUUGAACUUCCCCGGCAGAUUCAGUGACUUUGCCAGCUCCAGCAGCCACUGCUCUAAAGACACCUUCAGCAACUGUCUAUCGCAUAUCAUGAACAGCAAAAUGACCUGGAGGAGCAUAGUCAGAGAAGCUCUCAGCACACCUGGGCCUGAC